CUGAGGAGCUGAGAGACUGAGCCCCAGGCCUGUUCGGGCCUUCACAGACCUGCCUAAGGGGUUAGCAAGAAACCACAGGCCUCUGCCACACUGCCGUGAGACACUGCUAAUCAUAGCCAGCACGGCAGUCAAACGAACAAGCCACGGCAAAGUGUGCAGCGAAGGAUACUACGAUAUGCAAGCUGCUCGCAAACAACCGUGCUGUAAUCAACCAGGGAGGGAAGGAAGAAAGUCGACAGGAUUGAAACAACUUGAUGUUUGUUAACUGACCUGUUGGCUCUCCUGGUACGAUGGUGGAGGAACGCUCUGUGUGGCCAUCAUGGUCAAUGCUGGUGCUGGGGACACAUGUUGCAUCAUGGGAUAGCUUCACAUGGAGACCCUGAAGGAAA